rnacentral:rRNA from 1 species
UACAGAGGGGGCAAGCGUUGUUCGGAAUUACUGGGCGUAAGGGGCGCGUAGGCGGCCUGCUAAGUCGAACGUGAAAUCCCUGGGCUUAACCCAGGAACUGCGUCCGAUACUGGCAGGCUUGAAUCCGGGAGAGGGAUGCGGAAUUCCAGGUGUAGCGGUGAAAUGCGUAGAUAUCUGGAGGAACACCGGUGGCGAAGGCGGCAUCCUGGACCGGCAUUGACGCUGAGGCGCGAAAGCCAGGGGAGCAAACGGG